rnacentral:rRNA from 1 species
UACGUAGGGGGCAAGCGUUGUCCGGAAUUACUGGGCGUAAAGCGUGUGUAGGCGGUCUCAUAAGUCGGAUGUGAAAGCCCCGGGCUCAACCCGGGAAGUGCAUUCGAAACUGCGAGGCUAGAGUAUCGGAGAGGUUGGUGGAAUUCUCGGUGUAGAGGUGAAAUUCGUAGAUAUCGGGAGGAACACCAGUGGCGAAGGCGGCGAUCUGGGUCGAUACUGACGCUGAGGUGCGAAAGCGUGGGGAGCAAACAGG